GAAGGAUAAGAAACACGAUGACAAAGGUGAAGAUGACGCUGACGAUGACAAGGACAAAAAGGACAAAAAGGACAAGGACGCUGACAAAGAAAAGGACAAAAAUGAGAAAAAGGGUAAGCUCUUUGCUUUGGGUAAGAAGGAUAAGAAACACGAUGACAAAGGUGACGAUGACGAUGACAAGGACGAUGACAAGGACAAAAAGGACAAGGACACUGACAAAGAGAAGGACAAAAAUGAGAAAAAGGGUAAGCUCUUUGCUUUGGGUAAGAAGGAUAAGAAACACGAUGACGAAGGUGACGAUGACGCUGACAAGGAC